rnacentral:rRNA from 1 species
GAUGAACGCUGGCGGCGUGCUUAACACAUGCAAGUCGAACGAUGAAGCCCAGCUUGCUGGGUGGUUUAGUUGCGAACGGGUGAGUAACACGUGAGUAACCUGCCCUUAACUCUGGGAUAAGCCAGGGAAACUGGGUCGAAUACCGGAUAGGUGCUAUCACCGCCUGGUGGGUGUUGGAGAGAUUUAUCGUUUUUGGAUGGACUGGCGGGCUAUCAGCUCGUUGGUGAGGUAUUGGCUCACCAACGCGACGACGGGUAGACGGCCUGAGAGGGUGACCGGCGACAAGGGGACUGAGACAGGGACCAGAAUCCUACGGGACGCAGCAGGGGGGAAUAUUGCGGAACGGGGGCAAGCCUGAUGCAGAGACGCCGCGUGAGGGAAAACGGCCUUCGGGUUGUAAACCUCUUUCAGUAGGGAAGAAGCGAAAGUGACGGUACCUGCAGAAGAAGCACCGGCUAACUACGUG